rnacentral:lncRNA from 1 species
GUAGUAACAACAGCAGCAGUAAUAGUAACAGCAGCAGUAGUAGUAACAGCAGUAGUAGUAGUAACAGCAGCAGUAGUAGUAGCAGUAGUAGCAGUAGUAACAGUAGUAGCAGGAGUAACAUCGGCAGUAGUAGUAGUAGUAACAGCAGCAGUAGUAGUAACAGUAGUAGCAGUAGUAACAGCAGCAGCAGUAGUAGUAGUAACAGCAGUAGUAGUAGUAACUUUAGUAACAGUAGCAGCAGUAAUAGUAACAGCAGCAGCAGUAGUAGUAACAGCAGUAGCAGCAGUAGUAGUAACAUUAGCAGCAGUAGUAGUAACAGCAGCAUUAUUCGUGGUAACAGCAGCAGCAUCAGUAGUAACAGCAGCAGCGGCAGUCGUAGUAACAGCAGCAGCAGUAGUAGUAACAGCAGCAGCAGCAGUAGUAACAUUAGCAGCAGUAGUAGUAACAGCAGCAUUAUUCGUGGUAACAGCAGCAGCAUCAGUAGUAACAGCAGCAGCAGCAGUAAUAGUAACAGCAACAGCAGCAGCAGUAGUAGUAACAGCAGCAGCAGAAGAAGUAACAGCAGCAGUAGUCGUAGUAACAGCAGCAGCAGCAGUAGUAGUAGCACCAGCAGCAGCAGUAGUAGCAGCAGUUGUAGUAGCAGCAGCAGUAGCAGCAGCAGUAGCAACAGCAGUAGCAGCAGCAGUAGUAGUAGAAAUAGCAGUAGUAGUAGAAGUAACAGUAGGAGCAGUAGAAGUAACAGUAGGAGCAGAAGUAGCAGUAGUAGUAACAGCAGCAGCAGUAGAAGUAACAGUAGGAGCAGUAGUAGCAGCAGCAGUAGUAGUAGCAGCAGCAGCAGUAGUAGUAGCAGCAGCAGCAGUAAUAGUAACAACAGCAGCAAUAGUAGUAGUAACAACAGUAGUAGCAGUAGUAACAGCAGUAGCAGUAGUAGUAGCAGCAGCAGCAGUAGUAGUAGUAACAGCAGCAGUAGUAGUAACAGCAGCAGCAGUAGUGGUAGUAACAGCAGCAGUAGUAGUAACAGCAGCAGUAGUAGUAACAGUAGUAGCAAUAGCAGUAGUACAGCAGUAGCAGCAGUAGUAGUAACAACAGCAGCAGUAAUAGUAACAGCAGCAGUAGUAGUAACAGCAGCAGCAGUAGUAGUAGUAACAGCAGCAGUAGUAGUAACAGUAGUAGCAGUAGUAACAGUAGUAGCAGUAGUAACAUCGGCAGUAGUAGUAGUAGUAACAGCAGCAGUAGUAGUAACAGUAGUAGCAGUAGUAACAGCAGCAGCAGUAGUAGUAGUAACAGCAGUAGUAGUAGUAACUUUAGUAACAGUAGCAGCAGUAAUAGUAACAGCAGCAGCAGUAAUAGUAACAGCAGCAGCGGCAGUAGUAGUAACAUUAGCAGCAGUAGUAGUAACAGCAGCAGCAGCAGCAGUAGUAGUAACAGCAGCAGCAGAAGAAGUAACAGCAGCAGUAGUCGUAGUAACA